GAUGAAGAACGCAGCGAAAUGCGAUAAGUAAUGUGAAUUGCAGAAUUCAGUGAAUCAUCGUAUCUUUGAACGCACAUUGCGCCCGCCAGUAUUCUGGCGGGCAUGCCUGUUCGAGCGUCAUUUCAACCAUCAAGCCCCCGGCUUGUGUUGGGGACCUGCGGCUGCCGCAGGCCCUGAAAAGCAGUGGCGGGCUCGCUGUCACACCGAGCGUAGUAGCAUACAUCUCGCUCUGGGCGUGCUGCGGGUUCCGGCCGUUAAACCACCUUCAUAACCCAAGGUUGACCUCGGAUCAGGUAGGAAGACCCGCUGAACUUAAGCAUAUCAAUAAGCGGAGGA
rnacentral:misc_RNA from 1 species